AAAAAUUCAAACAGUAAAAAUAAAUCCAAACAACUUACAGAAAUUAAAAACUACAGACAAGUGAAAUUCCCACUUACCCAAUUGCACGUAAAACACUGAAAUUCCAGAUUGCAAUGAGAAGACUACAAAGGUGUGAACAGAAAUGAAGGAGAAAGGAAAAAUGAAAAAAAGGUGUAGAGAAGGGAAGGGGAAAAACAUGAGAUAGAGGAGGAAAGCAGAAACUGAAGUUAGAAAGUAUUAGAGAAGAGAGAGAAAAAUUAAAAUAAAAAUUAAAAAUUACUAAAUCCCCACACCAUCCACUAGCAACUUUAUCCCCCAAAAUCCUACCCACUAACCACAUCCAACUACCUCAGAGUUUUAAUUCCACCGAACCUCUAUCAAACAACCGCAACAAAAAUUAACAUCCAC
rnacentral:lncRNA from 1 species